GAUGAAGAACGUAGCGAAACGCGAAAGGUAAUGCGAAUUGCAGAAUCAGUGAGUCAUCGAAUCUUUGAACGCACAUUGCGCCUCUCGGUAUUCCGGGAGGCACGCCUGUUCGAGCGCCAUUACACACCCCAAGCUUGGCUUGAUGUUGGACUGCGUCUGUGAAAGGACGGGUCUGGAACGCGUUGGCGCCGCCGACGGACCACGAGCGUAGCAAGACGCAAGUCAUCGCUCGGUUGGCUCUGGACGGCGGGCAGCCUGCGGCACCUGGUAACACGGGAGCCGGGCACAGCGCAAGCUGUUACACAGUUUGGCCUCGGAUCAGGCGGGGAUACCCGCUGAACUUAAGCAUAUCAAUAAGCGGAGGGA
rnacentral:misc_RNA from 1 species